rnacentral:rRNA from 1 species
UACGUAGGGUGCGAGCGUUAAUCGGAAUUACUGGGCGUAAAGCGUGCGCAGGCGGUUUUGUAAGUCUGACGUGAAAUCCCCGGGCUUAACCUGGGAAUUGCGUUGGAGACUGCAAGGCUGGAGUCUGGCAGAGGGGGGUAGAAUUCCACGUGUAGCAGUGAAAUGCGUAGAGAUGUGGAGGAACACCGAUGGCGAAGGCAGCCCCCUGGGUCAAGACUGACGCUCAUGCACGAA